rnacentral:lncRNA from 1 species
GUAACAUGAAAAACUAGUCCAACAUACCAAAGCUGAAAUCAGAUGUAGCAUUAGCAUUGCCACUAAUCAGAUCAGACUAGCAUUGCCACUAAUGAUAGGCUUGUUCUAUGGUGGUGGUGGAUGGGUUGUUGUUGGCCAGAUAAAUUUCGUGCUAUUUGGUCGAUUCAUAAUCUUUACCCAUGAUAAAUUGUGCUUUAUUCAUAAUUCAUUCUGUCAGCAUCAUCUUGGCUGAAGAACUAAGAUGACUGGUCUCCACAAGGAUGGGUCCUCAUGCUCAUUUUGUUGCUGAACACCUCCUGUGCAUCUUUUUCAAUAGACACUAAUGUUGGGCACAUGUGAAUGUUGGCACCCUAUGCAUAGUUCCUUUGUCACACACACAUACUAUAUUUCGGAUCUUUAAUUCUUUGUUGCUCUUUUAGGAACAGGAGCCGGUGUCUGAAUGGGUAACAGAAAGCUGGACCUUCACACCCCUGCAUGUGUCAACACUGGAGAUGAAGAAGUAGUCUGGGAAGUCACCACUCUCCCAACGCCACAGGCAAGAAGAGAAAGGUUGUGAUAUAAAGCUGGGGCUGCUUAGCAACCUGGAGCCUGGGAGUGAACUGUGAACUAUAAGGCACAGAGAGCCCAGGAGUUUGCUCUUUUGCCCUCAUCCCCAUUGUGUGAACAAUGUAUUCUCAGAGGUCCCCAGUGUGAAGAGUGUGUUUUCAGAGGUCUGCCCAGAGUGUAACUCAAACAGUCCACCACCAGCAUGGCAGAGUUGAUGGAGUCUGCAUGUGCACCAACAGUUGCUCCUGUUUUGAACAAUGAAGUCAUAACAACAACAGCAGCAGCAGCAGAGCAACAACAACAACAACGAAAAAACACGAGGAAAGCAUGGGGACCUGUUGCAUUAAGGAAGAAGUUUGUUUUGGGGGAGUCUGGAAUUUUUUUUCUCUGUGUUGUGUUCACUGAGAUGCAUUGAGGUAGCAAUAAAGAAUUUUGAAACUAGAAGAUAGAUGUUCAAAUGUACUUAUGCUAUUUUCUUCUCAGAACCAAAAAAGGAGACAUUAAAAUUGUUUUGCAUGAGUGAACUGUUGCUGAGUAACUAAGAAAGGUAUUUCCAAACUAAGAUGCCAGUGAAUGCUGCAAACCUUGGGUCUGCUUGCCAAGACUAUAAACUCCAUUUGUCACAGGGACUGUGUCGUGGAGAAUUUCUUCUAAAUUUAUCUUCUGCAUUUGUUUUUGACCUGGAAUUAUAAACAGUAUGUGUCUGAUACAUAGAAUUCCGACAUGUGUCACUUCCUUUAGAUUUGUUGGAAGGAACUUGGUUUAAGUUGCACUCUCAAGUGUUGGUAAAGUCAGUCACCUCG